AUGGCUCCACCGGCGAAACUGACCCAGUAUACCCAGCUGAUCCUACUCCUCCUUGCAGCAGCAGUAGCUAGUGAUCACUUGACCCUGCAGCAGGCUGCGGCUGCCGCCGAUGAAUUACAAGGCCGACCGCAGCAGGGGCUGGGGCGUCCGGGUUGCCGGGACAAGUGCGGCGACAUGAGCAUCCCGUUCCCCUUCGGCAUGGACAAGCCCGGCUGCUUCCUACCCGGCUUCGAGGUCACCUGCAACACCUCCUCCACUCCGCCUCGCGCCUUCCUCGCCUACAACCACAGCGAGCCACCAUACCAGGUGAUUUACCAGUAUGCAUUCGACACUGAGAGUGGGGCUACAAGCCAAAUAGAGGGGCGUCAGGCGGUCGAGCUGUUCGACAUAUCACUCGAGACGAGCGAGGUACGUGUGUACAGCGGCGUCAAUUCCCGGUGCUUCACAAACGAUUCCGCGGGUUUAGACAAGGGUGAAUACAUGGAGUUGGACAGGGAGGGGCCGUUCCUCCUGUCGUCGACGCGCGACGAUCUCGUCGGCGUCGGCUGGAACGCCGAGCCCUCCAUGACAUACACGGUCAAGGCCUCGCCGGGCCCUCUCUCCUGCACUUCAAACCUUCCCUUCAUGUUUGCGGCCAAAGAUGGGGUGUGCUCGGGUCUGGGCUGCUGUCAGAUUGCCCUGCCGCCGCAGAUACCGACUCUCCCUGUCAUCAGUACCGGGUUGAUCUUGAAGAAUUACAUCAAUAUUCGCUGGGAAACCAAUCCAUGCUCCUACGGCAUGGUGGUGGAGAGGUCAUGGUACAACUUCACGGAGGAGGACUUGUACGGCUACGAGGUGCUAUCUACGAAACUCAGCAGGGGCUUCCCGUUGGUGCUUGAUUUCGCCAUCAGGGACGGCUCGUGUGAGCGCGACGGCUGCCUCAGCGGCAACAGUUCUUGUGCCAAAGCAGCCGGAGGCUAUGUCUGCAAGUGCCGGGAGCAUUACAAUGGCAACCCCUACAUCACCGAUGGAUGCCAAGACAUCGAUGAAUGUCAGCUCCGAGAACAGAGUCCCGAGUUCCGAGAUUUAUAUCCGUGUGACGGGAUCUGCACCAACAUACCCGGAGGAUAUGACUGCCGAUGCAAACGCGGGAUGAAAGGCGACGCCAAAAAGGGAAACUGCGCCGAAAUUUUUCCCCUGUCAGCAAAGAUCAUCGUUGGUCUUGCUGGAUGGAUUGUUGUCUUUGUCAUCAUUAUUAUGGCCAAGCAACACCUAAAACUUAAGAAGUUCUAUGCACAAAAUGGUGGUCCAAUACUUAAUGGUGUCAAGAAUAUACGGGUAUACACGAGGAAACAGCUGAAACAAGUAACAAACAACUAUGAGUGUGUCAUUGGACAGGGCCACUUUGGUAAGGUUUAUAAGGGCACUCUGAAAGAUAAACAACAAGUGGCUGUGAAGAAGUCCAUCAAAGUUGACAAGGACAUGAAGAAGGAAUUCACCGAUGAGGUUAUAAUCCAAUCCGAGAUGAGGCACAAAAACAUUGUCAGGCUCCUAGGUUGUUGCCUAGAGUUCGAUGUUCCCAUGUUGGUGUAAGAGUUUGUGGCGAAAGGGAGUUUGUAUGAUGUCCUCUUCAAAAGGAAGGAUAGCAUUCCAGUGAACAAGCGCCUUGCAAUUGCUAUUGGGUCAGCUGAAGGCCUAACAUAUAUGCACUCGGCUGGGGAGAGUACGAUACGUCACGGUGAUGUUAAAUCUGCAAACAUUCUUCUUGAUGAACAUUUCACCCCAAAAGUUUCAGACUUUGGUACCUCGAAGUUGCUCGCAAAAGGAAAAGACGAGGAGACUGAUCGUGUUAUUGGGGACAUGAGUUACAUAGAUCCAAUAUAUAUGGAGAAGGGGGUCAUUACACAAAAGAGUGAUGUCUACAGUUUUGGAAUUGUUCUCAUAGAGCUCAUCACAAGAAGACCUGCAACAUAUGACGUCAAGAGGAGCUAUGUUGCAAACUUUGUUCAAUCUUGUGCAGAAAAAAGAGUAAGGAACUUUAUUGAUAACGAUAUUACAAGUGAGGUUGAUAUUGCUAUGUUGGAAAUGGUUAGUGGGGUUGCUGCAGAUUGUCUAAAACCUAAUCCAGAAGAAUGGCAUGAUAUGAAACAAGUAGAACACCGGCUCCUCAAAAUUAUUGGACAACCCGUAUAUCAUGGUCAGAAGGGAAACUCCCAGUUAGAUCUUCGUCCUGCACCUGAUCAUGUUGCUUUGCUUAGCUAA
rnacentral:rRNA from 1 species